UACGUAGGGGGCAAGCGUUGUCCGGAUUUACUGGGCGUAAAGAGCGCGUAGGCGGACGUUUAAGUGUGGCCUGAAAGCCCCCGGCUCAACCGGGGAUCCGGGUUGCAACUGGACGUCUUGAGGGGGAUAGGGAGAGUGGAAUUCCUGGCGUGAGCGGUGAAAUGCGUAGAGAUCAGGAGGAACACCCGUGGCGAAGGCGGAUCUCUGGGCCAUUACUGACGCUGAGGAGCGAAAGCGUGGGAGCGAACAGG
rnacentral:rRNA from 1 species